rnacentral:rRNA from 1 species
CCUACGGGGGGCAUCAGUGGGGAAUAUUGGACAAUGGGGGCAACCCUGAUCCAGCCAUGCCGCGUGUGUGAAGAAGGCCCUCGGGUUGUAAAGCACUUUCAGUGAGGAAGAACGCCUGGUGGUUAAUACCCAUCAGGAAAGACAUCACUCACAGAAGAAGCACCGGCUAACUCCGUGCCAGCAGCCGCGGUAAUACGGAGGGUGCGAGCGUUAAUCGGAAUUACUGGGCGUAAAGCGCGCGUAGGUGGCUUGAUAAGCCGGUUGUGAAAGCCCCGGGCUCAACCUGGGAACGGCAUCCGGAACUGUCAAGCUAGAGUGCAGGAGAGGAAGGUAGAAUUCCCGGUGUAGCGGUGAAAUGCGUAGAGAUCGGGAGGAAUACCAGUGGCGAAGGCGGCCUUCUGGACUGACACUGACACUGAGGUGCGAAAGCGUGGGUAGCAAACAGGAUUAGAUACCCUUGUAGUC